rnacentral:rRNA from 1 species
AGUGAACGCUGGCGGCAGGCCUAACACAUGCAAGUCGAACGGCAGCAUAGUAAGUGCUUGCUCAUACGGGUGGCGAGUGGCGGACGGUGCCGGAGUAUAUGGGAUUACACUUUUUCGUGGGUGCUAACGCAGGGAAACUUACGCCAUUCCCGCAUACGACGUACGAGUGUAAGCAGGCGAACUUCGGACCUUGUGCUAUUGUAUGAGCCCAUGUCGGAUUAGCUAGUUGGCGGGGUAAAGGGGCACCAAGGCGACACUGCGUAGCUGGUCUGAGAGGGUGAACAGCCACACUGGAACUGAGACACGGUCCAGACUCCGACGGGAGGCAGCAGUGGGGAAUAUUGGACAAUGGGCGAAAGCCUGAUACAGCCAUACCGCGUGGGUGAAGAAGGACUUCGGGUUGUAAAGCCCUUUAGUUGGGAAAGAAGAGCAGCAGGUUAAUACCCCGCUGUUCUGACGGUACCCAAAGAAUAAGCACCGGCUAACUUCGUG